rnacentral:rRNA from 1 species
AUUGAACGCUGGCGGCAGGCCUAACACAUGCAAGUCGAACGAGUGGCGGACGGGUGAGUAAUGUCUGGGACCCUGCCUGAUGGCGGGGGAUACCUCCUGGAAACGGUAGCUAAUACCGCAUACCAUCGGAUGUGCCCCGGUGGGCUUAGCUAGUAGGUGGGGUAAAGGCUCACCUAGGCGACGAUCCCUAGCUGGUCUGAGAGGAUGAACAGCCACACUGGAACUGAGACACGGUCCAGACUCCUACGGGAGGCAGCAGUGGGGAAUAUUGCGCAAUGGGCGAAAGCCUGAUGCAGCCAUGCCGCGUGUAUGAAGAAGGCCUUCGGGUUGUAAAGUACUGUCAGCAGGGAGGCGUUACCCGCAGAAGAAGCACCGGCUAACUCCGUGCCAGCAGCCGCGGUAAUUC